rnacentral:rRNA from 1 species
CAAGUCGAGCGAGAUUUUUUCCUGUAGCAAUACAGGGAAACGUCUAGCGGCGAACGGGUGCGUAACACGUGGGCAACCUGCCGAGAAGUGGGGGAUAGCUCGCCGAAAGGCGAAUUAAUACCGCAUGUGAUUAGAGUGGACAUCCAUUCAAAAUCAAAGUCGGGGCAACCUGACGUUUCUUGAGGGGCCCGCGGCCUAUCAGCUAGUUGGUGAGGUAACGGCCCACCAAGGCUUUGACGGGUAGCUGGUCUGAGAGGACGACCAGCCACACUGGGACUGAGACACGGCCCAGACACCUACGGGUGGCAGCAGUCGAGAAUUUUUCUCAAUGGGGGAAACCCUGAAGGAGCGACGCCGCGUGGAGGAUGAAGGUCUUCGGAUUGUAAACUCCUGUCAUUUGGGAACAAUGCGCAAAUAUUAACUGUAUUUGCGUUGAUAGUACCAGAAGAGGAAGAGACGGCUAACUCUGUGCCAGCAGCCGCGGUAAUACAGAGGUCUCAAGCGUUGUUCGGAUUCAUUGGGCGUAAAGGGUGCGUAGGCGGCGCGGUAAGUCGGGUGUGAAAUCUUGGAGCUUAACUCCGAAACUGCAUUCGAUACUGCCGUGCUUGAGGACUGGAGAGGAGACUGGAAUUUACGGUGUAGCGGUGAAAUGCGUAGAUAUCGUAAGGAAGACCAGUGGCGAAGGCGGGUCUCUGGACAGUUCCUGACGCUGAGGCACGAAGGUCAGGGGAGCAAACGGGAUUAGAUACCCCGGUAGUCCUGACAGUAAACGGUGCACGUUUGGUGUGGGAGGAUUCGACCCCUUCUGCGCCGGAGCUAACGCGUUAAACGUGCCGCCUGGGGAGUACGGUCGCAAGAUUAAAACUCAAAGAAAUUGACGGGGGCCCGCACAACGGUGGA